rnacentral:rRNA from 1 species
UACGAAGGUGGCAAGCGUUGUUCGGAUUUACUGGGCGUAAAGGGAGCGUAGGUGGUUAGGUAAGCCCUCCGGGAAAUCUUCAGGCUUAACCUGAAAAGGUCGGGGGGGACUGCCUGGCUAGAGGACGGGAGAGGAGCGCGGAAUUCCCGGUGUAGCGGUGAAAUGCGUAGAGAUCGGGAGGAAGGCCGGUGGCGAAGGCGGCAUCCUGGACUGGUACUGACGCUCAUGAGCGAAAGCGUGGGGAGCGAGCCGG